rnacentral:rRNA from 1 species
UUGAUCAUGGCUCAGGAUGAACGCUAGCGGCAGGCCUAACACAUGCAAGUCGAGCGGUUGGGACCUUCGGGUCCUGAGAGCGGCGCACGGGUGCGUAACGCGUAUGCAACCUGCCCUGUACAGGGGAAUAGCCCGUCGAAAGGCGGAUUAAUGCCCCAUGGCUCCUUCGAGAGGCAUCUCUUGGAGGGUAAAGAUUUAUCGGUACAGGAUGGGCAUGCGUGCCAUUAGCUGGACGGUGGGGUAACGGCCCACCGUGGCGACGAUGGCUAGGGGUUCUGAGAGGAAGGCCCCCCACACUGGGACUGAGACACGGCCCAGACUCCUACGGGAGGCAGCAGUGAGGAAUAUUGGUCAAUGGGCGGAAGCCUGAACCAGCCAUGCCGCGUGCGGGAAGAAGGCGCUACGCGUCGUAAACCGCUUUUGUCCGGGGGUAACCGCGGGGACGUGUCCCCGCCUGCAAGUACCGGACGAAUAAGGGUCGGCUAACUCCGUGCCAGCAGCCGCGGUAAUACGGAGGACCCGAGCGUUAUCCGGAUUCAUUGGGUUUAAAGGGUGCGCAGGCGGCCCGGUCAGUCAGCGGUGAAAUGCCCGCGCUUCACGCGGGAGCUGCCGUUGAUACCGCCGGGCUAGAAUCUCAGCGAGGCGGGCGGAAUGCGCGGUGUAGCGGUGAAAUGCAUAGAUAUCGCGCAGAACGCCGAUUGGGGAGCCAGCUCGCCAGCUGGGUAUUGACGCUGAGGCACGAAAGCGUGGGGAUCGAACAGGAUUAGAUACCCUGGUAGUCCACGCCGUAAACGAUGAUGGCUCGCUCUUGGCUGGAAACGGUCAGGGGCUUAGCGAAAGCGUUAAGCCAUCCACCUGGGGAGUACGCCGGCAACGGUGAAACUCAAAGGAAUUGACGG